GGCCAGGCUGGCCUUGAAUUUACAACAGAUCCACCUACCUGUCUGCCUCCUGAGUGCUGAGGUUAAAGGCUUGUCCCGCCCCACCCCCCCGACUUUGCACAGAUUUGAGGGAAGCCUGCACCACAAGUUCCUCUCACAAAGAAAACCAUGAACAAGUUGAGAAAAAAUCAGUGGAAGCCAUUUAGGUAUGUGGCAUGCUGGGACAUGUUUAGAAAGAGACUUGCCAAAACAUGCCCAUCCCCCAUCAGCACCCGAGGCGAUGUUUAAUGUUGAUAAGACAAAAGCAGAUUCUCAAGAAUACAGCAUGCCAUUCUCUGCUUCACUCUUCCCUACUGUGCAAAUUGUUAGAAGUUGUAGGCUUUUAUUUUUAUUGUACAUUAAUUCUUUUAUUUUGAAAUAUUGUGCAAUCUUCAUAUUCAGUUACAUGACCUUAUAUAAAGAUUCAACUUCCAAUUCAAGAAGCUGAAUUCUAGUGUAGACCACCUCAGGAUCAUGGCAAUGUAUUUGUAUUGAUCCAUCUGUAGUUGUCAUAUUUAAAAAUAUGCAUUUUAGGUAACCAUGCAUGCAUGCUCCACGUACAUACACCCAACAGGUCAAGGUAGUCCAAUAAGAUGAGGAAUAAAGAUAAUUUUCAGAAUCUCAAAACUACAGAAAUCAUUAUGUUUUGGGAUUGGGGGAAGCUUGGUAGGGUUGGAGUUUAUGGGCCUUCCUUCCUAAUGAGGUAUUCAGUAACCUUGAGGGCUGGGGGAGAUAGCAAGAAUGGCAUCUGUGACCAUCUGUGCUGAGAAAGAAAUGGGCUUUCCUUUACAACCUCACCCACAAUUUACAUUACAUCAGCUGAUGCUGGUUCCCACCUUUGAGGGCCCUCCGAAUGAGAACAUCUGAUUCUCACCGAAGAAUUCUAAAAGGCUUACAAAGGUUUACAGAGAACUAACUCAGCAAAUAAAGGAAGCAGGAAAUAUUUCUAGGCCGAAGUCUGCUUCUGAAAGUGAGAUUUCCAGUCCAUCAGCACUGAUUACCUUAGCCUCACUGCAGACCAACUGAGUUGGAGACGCUGGGCCCAGCAACUUGUGGCUUAAUGCCAAGCUCUCCAGGUGGUUCUGACACACAUUUAACAACCAUGGACCCAGGUGACAUGCUUUGGUUGUUAUGGUGAUGGUGCUGGGCAUCACAUGCAGGACAUUCUGGCAAGUUCUCUUAUCACUAAACUAUAAUCCCAUCCCUAGUUUUCCCCUAAAGGACACAAGUGACACCCUGCUUGACAUAAUACUAUAUCUUGGAGAUCCACCUGCCUCUGCCUCCCCAGGGCUGGGAUUAAAGGUGUGUGCCACCACCUCCCAGUUUAUACUUUAGACUAUAUAAAUAGAAUUAUUUUUCACGUUAAUCUCAUUCCAUCAGUUCUUCCUUCUCCAUAAGUGGUCUAAGCUUUUCUAUGUGGACCAAGCUUUAAUUGAAUCUGUAAUCCUCCUGCCUUAGUUUCCAGAGCACUGGGGUUACAAUUGGGUACCACUACAUUUGGUACAGAACUGUUUUUGGUUUUUUGUUUGUUCGUUUGUUUUUUUAUCCAGGAAAAUCAGGGCAGGAACUCAAGUUGGGCAGGUAUCUGGAGGAAGGAGGGGCUCAAGCAGAGGCCAUGGAAGCUUACUGGCUUGCUCCCCAAGGCUUUCUCAGCCUGCAUUUUUUUUUUUAAGAUUUAUUUAUUGUGAGUACAAUGUUCUGUCCACAUGUAUCCUUUUGGCCAGAAGAGGGCACCAGAUCUCAUUACAGAUGGUUGUGACCAUUAUGUGGUUGCUGGAAAUUGAACUUAGGACCUCUGGAAACAGAUAAUAUUCUUAACCAUCCCCAUCAGCCUAUUUAUUAUAACCCCAGGACCACCUGCCAGGCACAGCAUUACCUACAACUGGUUGGGUCAUCAAUCAAGAAAACACCCUACAGACUUACCUACGGGCCAGUGGGAUGGAGGCAUUUUCUUGAUUAAGAUUCUUUCUUCCCAGAUGACCUAGCUUGUGUGAAGUUGACAUAAAACCUAGACAGAACAGGAGACAAUUAAGUCAUGAGAGCAGAACCUUCACCAAUGAUAUUAAUGAGUCAACUGUGCACUUCUCCCACUGUGUUGAGAACACUUUGAAGAGCCAUCUCUGAGAAAUGCCCUCACCAGACACAAAUCUGCCGGCACCUGGUCCUCCCAGCCUCCGGAACUGUCAACAAUGCAUUUCUGUUCAUAAACUACCUAGUCCAAAAUAUUUUAACAUUGCAGCCCAGAUGGAAGAGAGUGAAUCUGUAUUGUAUAUGUUCUUUCUCUUGGUGAGGAACACCCACAUUGCCUCCAGUGCCUCAGCACCCUUGUUGUAGCUUCUGAUAAACUGGCAUGAGAACUUCUUCAGGACAAAUAGCUAGGAACAGAACUUCUGGUUCCUUGAUGUAUGUAAACUUGCAUUGAGUAGUGGCUACCUUAGCCCCACAUGCUACCAGAGCAGCACAAAGCACCUCAUCCUCAGUCAUGACCAUCCCUAGACAUGAUUCAGCUUUGCAAUUUUAAAGUGAUACCUGUUACUGUUUUAACUUGCCUUUGCAUGACUACUAGUUUUUUUUAAGGUCAAUUUUAUUACUUGUGUGUGUGUGAGUGGUGUGGGAGGGACCUAUGGAGGGCAGAAGAUGGUGUUGGGUCCCCUGGAACUGGAGUCACAGGUGGUUGUAAGCCUCUCCAUGUGGGUGUUGGGGACACAGAUGCUCCUCCUUUAGGAGCAGAAAGCAUGCUAAACAGCCAAGUCAUCUCUCCAGCCCCAUGGCGUUAUAUUUUUACCUCCUUUUUAUAACCAAUCUUCCAUUCCUGCUGGCAGAAGAAAGCCAGUCCCAGUUAGCCCUCAGGAUCUUAAAUGGUCUGGGCUAAAAGCCUCCACCACUGACAGUUCAUUUCUUAUUACUGCCCUCACACCACUCUGUACCCUGGUCUCCACCUGCAGUCUCUCUUUUUAGUUUCUGCUGCUUCUGCCUGCAUCAGACAGCUCCUAUCCCAAGGUUUGUUGUGGAAAGAAUUGCUCUUCCCCUCUGAAUCAGGUAGUUCAGUCUGUCCUUCCUCUAUACUUACAAAAGAUGUCAUUCCUUCUCCAACCUCAUGUGCUGCCUCCAACCAGGUGGAUGUGAAACCAUGCUGGUAUUCCUACUAAAUAAAUUAGUAACGAGUGCUUAUUUAUAUGAAUGGUGAUUACACAAUGUUCUUGACAGUCAUAAUCAAGAUUCACAACUAUCCUAUGGUGGUUAAUCUUUACCGUCAAGUUGACUGGAAUUCAAAUGUCCUAGGAGACCAUACUCCAUGGUGUUUGUGAGGGUGACUCCAGGCAAACUUACCUGAGGAGGAAAGACGACUUCUGAAUGUAGAACCACCCAGUGGACUGGGGCCCCAAGCUAACACAGUGGGCAGAGAGCACCAACGACUGUUUCCUGACUAAUGCUGCAAUGUGAUCAACUGCCCCCUCUCACUGCCAUUCUGUCACCAUACCCCUUCUGUGUUGGGGACCAGGUCACCGAAUCUACUUCUUACGCCAGGGCACAUCCCAAACUCAGGCGUCUUCCCACAGAUGGCCUGGUGCCACAGGGACAACCCAUUGCUUAACAAUGCUAACACCUACACUCCCUGGUGAGAUCUCCUGCUCUCUUGCUUAUGAAACGCUCCCUGCUCCUAACAGCCCCCUGUCUCACUUCUGGUCUAACAACCUCUGCCCCAUGGCCAAAGCCACAUUCCCCUAUGUAAGCCUGUACAGAACUUUCAUUAAACGGCAGCUUCAUCA